rnacentral:rRNA from 1 species
AUUGAACGCUGGCGGCAUGCUUUACACAUGCAAGUCGAACGGUAACAGGCCGCAAGGUGCUGACGAGUGGCGAACGGGUGAGUAAUGCAUCGGAACGUGCCCAGUCGUGGGGGAUAACUACUCGAAAGAGUAGCUAAUACCGCAUACGAUCUAUGGAUGAAAGCGGGGGACCGUAAGGCCUCGCGCGAUUUGAGCGGCCGAUGUCAGAUUAGGUAGUUGGUGGGGUAAAGGCUCACCAAGCCAACGAUCUGUAGCUGGUCUGAGAGGACAACCAGCCACACUGGGACUGAGACACGGCCCAGACUCCUACGGGAGGCAGCAGUGGGGAAUUUUGGACAAUGGGCGCAAGCCUGAUCCAGCAAUGCCGCGUGCAGGAAGAAGGCCUUCGGGUUGUAAACUGCUUUUGUACGGAACGAAACGGCUCUGGUUAAUACCCGGGGCUAAUGACGGUACCGUAAGAAUAAGCACCGGCUAACUACGUG